UCCCCGGUAGCUCAGUUGGUAGAGCAGGCGGCUGUUAACCGCCUUGUCGCUGGUUCGAGUCCGGCCCGGGGAG
rnacentral:tRNA from 1 species